UUAGAGAUACAUGCAAGGAAGGAUUCUUCCAUCCGAGAAUCACGCUAAAGAUCUUCCUUCCUUCCCUGUUUUUCAAGCGUAUCAAUUUAACAGAUCGUGACAUUCUCUCCCUCUGUAAAUCACGGCAUUCUCUCCCAAAAAAUUCUCAAAAGGAGCUCCAAAUUUCACUCAAAAUCGAUCAAUUUCACUAUACCCUUUCGCGAUUUUUGUGUAUAUACAGCUUUCGCGAUUUCUGUGUAGAAGGAACUACGAACUACAAUCAAAAUCAAUCAAGGAAUUGGUACUGCCUAGUAUGCAUCAACAACAACUGCGAUUGGUAUUUUAAGUUUUCGAGCCUGAAAAAAAGCAAAACUUUUCAAGGUCAAAAAUUUCAGCAAACUGCACUCAUGCCCGCUGAAAGACAGAUCUUACUCACAAUGUCAAGCUACUGCAAAACUCAUCGGCAGACUUCUGAUAGACAAGUAUAAAGACGCAAAAACAAUAUACACUCAUAGUGACAUAAUUGGAGACAUGAACAAGCAGUAUGGUCUUCAAAUGACAUAUAUGCAAGCAUGAAGAUCGAAAGAAUAUGCAGUUCAACUACUGAGAGGGAACCCGAGCGAAUCAUAUGAAAAGCUGCCAAGCUACUUUUAUAUGCUGGUUCUUACAAAUCCUAUGUCGGUGGUAAGUUUGAAAAAAAUAGAGGAAGACCUGUUCAUGUAUGCUUUCGUUGCACUAUAUCCGUCUAUAAAAGGAUGGCAGUAUUGCAAA